CCUGGUGGCUCAGAGGUUAAAGCACCUGCCUGCAAUGCGGGAGACCUGGGUUCGAUCCCUGGAUCAGGA
rnacentral:tRNA from 1 species